rnacentral:rRNA from 1 species
ACCCUACCGUCAUCCCACAGGCAUUGCCUCCUGUGGUUAUUCCUCAGAUAGAAAAGGGCUUUACAACCUUCCGGCCUUCUUCACCCACGCGGCGUCGCUCUGUCAGACUUUCGUCCAUUGCAGAAGAUUCUUA